rnacentral:rRNA from 1 species
CCUACGGGAGACAGCAGUGAGGAAUAUUGGUCAAUGGGCGGGAGCCUGAACCAGCCAAGCCGCGUGAGGGAAGAAGGUACAGCGUAUCGUAAACCUCUUUUGUCAGGGAACAAAGGCGGGGACUAGUCCCCGGAUGAGGGUACCUGAAGAAAAAGCAUCGGCUAACUCCGUGCCAGCAGCCGCGGUAAUACGGAGGAUGCGAGCGUUAUCCGGAUUUAUGGGGUUUAAAGGGUGCGCAGGCGGCCUGUUAAGUCAGCGGUAAAAGCCCGGGGCUCAACCCCGGCGAGCCGUUGAAACUGGCGGGCUGGAGUUGGAGAGAAGUACGCGGAAUGCGCGGUGUAGCGGUGAAAUGCUUAGAUAUGGCGCAGAACCCCGAUUGCGAAGGCAGCGUACCGGCUCCACACUGACGCUGAGGCACGAAAGCGUGGGUAUCGAACAGGAUUAGAUACCCGAGUAGUC